GACGAACGCUGGCGGCGUGCUUAACACAUGCAAGUCGAACGGAAAGACCCUGCUCUUGUGGGGUUCUCGAUUGCCGAACGGGGGAGAAACACGUGAGUAACCCGUCCUUGUCUUUGGGAUAACAUCAGGAAAAUGGGGCUAAUAUAGGAUAGGAUAUAUUGCAGCAUGGUGGGGGUUGGAAAGUUUCGGCGGUUGGGGAUGGACUCGCGGCUUAUCAGCUUGUUGGUGGGGUAGUGGCUGACCAAGGCUUUGACGGGUCGCCGGCCUGAGAGCGUGAACGGCGUCAUUAGGACUGCGGUAGGGAGCAGUCUGCUACGUGAGGCAGCAGUGGAGAGUAUUACACAGUGGGCGCGCGUCUGAGGCGGCGGCCCCGGGUGCGUGAUGCCGUCUUUUUGGUUAUAAACAGCUGUCGCCUGAGACGAAGCGGUAGUGACGGUAAUGGAUCAAGAAGCACCGGCUAACUACGUG
rnacentral:rRNA from 1 species